rnacentral:rRNA from 1 species
GUGCCAGCCGCCGCGGUAAUACGAGAGGCCCAAACGUUAUUCGGAAUUACUGGGCUUAAAGAGUCCGUAGGCGGCGCAGAAAGUGGGGUGUGAAAGCCCUCGGCUCAACCGAGGAAUUGCGCUCCAAACUCCUGUGCUUGAGGAAUCUAGAGGUGAGCGGAACUGAUGGUGGAGCGGUGAAAUGCGUUGAUAUCAUCAGGAACACCGGAGGCGAAGGCGGCUCACUGGGGAUUUUCUGACGCUGAGGGACGAAAGCCAGGGGAGCGAACGGGAUUAGAAACCCUGGUAGUCC